AUGAGCAGUUCUGUGAGCUGGCCUGCAGUGACCCCUUCUCCCAAGGAGCCUAGCACGAGUGCUCCUGGCCUGCCUGCUGUCCCUGCUGGGUCACGUCCACCCUUCAAGUGUGUGCUUUCUCAGGAAACCUUAGAACAUGUUUAUUUUAAAAGAACAGAUUGGAGAAAACAAAAAGUGUUUCUAGAUUGCUGUUCAUAGUCGGGCGCUUGUUCACAGGGAAAUCCAUGGCAUCAGUACCUUCCAUUGGUUGCCUGCUAGCCAAAAAUCAGUAUUAUCGAAAGACCAGUAUAUCUUCAGUUAGCUCUUUAACAGAUUCUGUUAAUGUCAUACCUGAUGACAAAUCCCAACAAGGGUUACUAAAUGUGGCAGAAUCUAGCUGGUGGUUUAAAUCCUUUUUCCAUUCUGAACCUGUGCCUUCAGAUAUAAGAAGAAAAGAUCUGUCUGCUAGUGGUGUUAAUAGCUGACUCUGAUAAUCAAGAGGAUUCCACCUGCCGAGGUGCUAUAUUUGUGAACCACACCUUUCAGUACUAAGCUAUUCCAGAUGACUUUUCUUCAUUAUAAGAAGACAGAAACCUGCUGGAGAUCCUAUUUAUGAGAUAGUAUCUCUGCAGCCACCCAUACAGCAAAAGAUUAGGCAUUUUCCUCAUUAUACAGACUAUUGCUGUGAGUGGUAUCAGCAACGUGGAGAAUAUUGGAAAAGUAUGCCUUUGAAAACAUGUACCUUUUUAAAGUAAUAAGUCUUCAAAUGUAAUGAUUUGUAUGAAGUAGCUUUUUCCCUAUCCACAUUAUUUU
rnacentral:lncRNA from 12 species